rnacentral:rRNA from 1 species
ACGGGAGGCAGCAGUGGGGAAUAUUGCACAAUGGGGGAAACCCUGAUGCAGCGACGCCGCGUGAAGGAAGAAGUAUCUCGGUAUGUAAACUUCUAUCAGCAGGGAAGAUAAUGACGGUACCUGACUAAGAAGCACCGGCUAAAUACGUGCCAGCAGCCGCGGUAAUACGUAUGGUGCAAGCGUUAUCCGGAUUUACUGGGUGUAAAGGGAGCGCAGACGGCAUGGCAAGCCAGAUGUGAAAGGUGGGGGCUCAACCCCCAAGCUGCAUUUGGAACUGUCAAGCUAGAGUAUCGGAGAGGUAAGUGGAAUUCCUAGUGUAGCGGUGAAAUGCGUAGAUAUUAGGAGGAACACCAGUGGCGAAGGCGGCUUACUGGACGAUAACUGACGUUGAGGCUCGAAAGCGUGGGGAGCAAACAGGAUUAGAUACCCUGGUA